GACGAACGCUGGCGGCGUGCUUAACACAUGCAAGUCGAACGGAAAGGCCCUGCUUUUGUGGGGUGCUCGAGUGGCGAACGGGUGAGUAACACGUGAGUAACCUGCCCUUGACUUUGGGAUAACUUCAGGAAACUGGUGCUAAUACCGGAUAGGAGCUCCUGCUGCAUGGUGGGGGUUGGAAAGUUUCGGCGGUUGGGGAUGGACUCGCGGCUUAUCAGCUUGUUGGUGGGGUAGUGGCUUACCAAGGCUUUGACGGGUAGCCGGCCUGAGAGGGUGACCGGCCACAUUGGGACUGAGAUACGGCGCAGACUCCUACGGGAGGCAGCAGUGGGGAAUAUUGCACAAUGGGCGGAAGCCUGAUGCAGAAACGCCGCGUGCGGGAUGACGGCCUUCGGGUUGUAAACCGCUUUCGCCUGUGACGAAGCGUGAGUGACGGUAAUGGGUAAAGAAGCACCGGCUAACUACGUG
rnacentral:rRNA from 1 species